AUUGAACGCUGGCGGCAGGCUUAACACAUGCAAGUCGAGCGAGUGGCGGACGGGUGAGUAAUGUCUGGGAAACUGCCUGAUGGAGGGGGAUAACUACUGGAAACGGUAGCUAAUACCGCAUACCAUCAGAUGUGCCCAGAUGGGAUUAGCUAGUAGGUGGGGUAAUGGCUCACCUAGGCGACGAUCCCUAGCUGGUCUGAGAGGAGGACCAGCCACACUGUAACGGAGACGCGGGCCAGACGCCUACGGGAGGCAGCAGUGGGGAAUAUUGCGCAAUGGGCGCAAGCCUGAUGCAGCCAGGCCGCGUGUGUGAAGAAGGCCUUCGGGUUGUAAAGCACUUUCAGCGAGGAGGCGUUACUCGCAGAAGAAGCACCGGCUAACUCCGUGCCAGCAGCCGCGGUAAUUC
rnacentral:rRNA from 1 species